rnacentral:lncRNA from 1 species
GGAACAUACUCGAACCAUGUAGGUGAUUUGUGUCCCUGUCUCAUCUUUCUUACCAGAAUACCAUCGGAGCUCCUCUGGAACAUGUCCUUGUCUUCUCAGAGUGUGAAGUGUGUGUGUGACAGUGCUUUUCUGAGGACUCAGGUGACCUGGAGGCUGGAGAACAGCAUGGAGCAAGGAAAACAAAGACGAUGUGCUGGAGUGUAUGUUGCUUUCAUAAUUAUGUGAAAGAAAAUGUAGAGAAAUUUGAAAGGCAGGAAUCUGCUUUCUGCAGGCAGGAUGGAGCUCCUGGAACACUAUAUGCUACUUCUGAGAUUUCUUCUUUGUUUUUGAACGUCACCACCAUGUCUCUAGUGUGAUGUAAUAAGAAGGGAUCACCCGGCGGAGGAAAAGGAUUCCUCAUUUUCUAAACCAGAUACUAUGUUUCUUUCUCUUUUGCUUUCUGCUCUCUACUUCCUUCCAGUUGAGACUGUGGCUGUCUUUUUUCCCCCUCCCAUUAGAGAGUUCAGUGGGCUUUUCCCCACUGGAAUCAGAUAGAGACUCUGGGAUGGAGCUGGGGGAUUUGCUGAUAGUCUGGUGAACCUGAGAGGAAAACGAAGCUCAGGUCACACAGCAAGUAACAGAGUGGCCAGUCCAGGACUCAAAACUCAGGCCUCCUGACUCCUGGCCCAGUGCUCUUUUCAAAGCGUCCUUCCAUAAACGAUGAGGAUUUUAGUAAUCCAUCCAUCUCCCUGCAGCCUCCCUGAAUGUUACAAAUAUUAAUAUACUCAUCUGAUACACCUUGCACACCUCCUGUGAGGCAGAUCCUUUCUAGGCACUGGGGACUUAUCAGCAAAACAGAAAUAAAUCCCUGCUCUUAAGGGGCUUAUGGUUGAGUGAUGGGAGACAGAUAAUAACCACAAUAAACAAAUAAAUGAUAGAUUUUCCACAAUGUCUCUCCAGGGAACAUUUUCUCAACAGAAUGGUUCUUGAUUUUUUAAAGCCCAAACUCCAUAAAAUGUAUAUGCCUUUCU